UUUACUUUUUCUUUGUCUAUUUAUACCCAACGGUCAUAAAUCUGCGAAUCAAGUUUUCUCCGACACAUUUUGGUGUUCUUUGAGCAGUCGAGCAAUGCCGCCGUUAUCCACUGCAAACCCAUAUAUUUUAUACUUUAAGUGAGCUCCGAGAGCACGUCCCAAGGGUUUAAGUCACAAAGGAACAAGUGUCAGAUGAAGAAAAUAGGGUGUUGCAAUG
ensembl:ncRNA C29A12.21 ncRNA